CCUACGGGCGGCAGCAGCGAGGAAUAUUGGUCAAUGGGCGAGAGCCUGAACCAGCUAAGUCGCGUGAAGGAUGACGGCCCUACGGGUUGUAAACUCUUUUUGUCAGGGCGCAAUUGGGCUCACGCGUGGGCUUAGCGAGAGUACCUGAAGUAAAAGUAUCGGCUAACUCCGUGCCAGCAGCCGCGGUAAUACGGAGGAUGCGAGCGUUAUCCGGAUUUAUUGGGGUUACAGGGUGCGUAGGCGGACUAUCAAGUCAGCGGUAAAAAUUCGGGGCUAAAUUCCGUCGUGCCGAUGAGACUGAUGUUCUUGAGUGGGCGAGAGGGAGGCGGAAUGCGAGGUGUAGCAGUGAAAUGCAUAGAUAUGACGCAGAACUCCGAUGGCGAAGGCAGCAUACCGGCGCCCAACUGACGCUGAAGCACGAAAGCGUGGGUAUCAAACAGGAUUAGAUACCCGGGUAGUC
rnacentral:rRNA from 1 species